CAGUCUGGGUGCUGGUUCCCUUUUCCUGGUUCUGCUAGCUGGGUCUGUGCUGUGUGUUCUCCAAAGCAAUUGUGGGGUUCAAUGCAGGCCUGUAAAUACUGGAAGCCCACCUGAGCAGCAAGACCAAACCCCACCUUGUGUCUAUUCUGUCAUCACAAAGCAGUCUAGGGAUGAGGAAGAGGACAGUAGUCUGCAAUAUGCUACUGUGACAUCUACCAGUGACCAAGCUAGUCUUCAAUAUGCAACAGUGACAUCUACCGGUAACCAAGUUGGACCUGGGAGCACCAAGAUCAAGUUUGAAAUAGCUGGAGAG